GACGAACGCUGGCGGCGUGCUUAACACAUGCAAGUCGAACGGUGAACCUCUUCGGAGGGGAUCAGUGGCGAACGGGUGAGUAACACGUGGGCAACCUGCCCCCGGCUCUGGGAUAACUCCAAGAAAUUGGGGCUAAUACCGGAUGUUCACCGCUUCCCGCAUGGGUGGUGGUGGAAAGGGUUUCCGGCUGGGGAUGGGCCCGCGGCCUAUCAGUUUGUUGGUGGGGUAGUGGCCUACCAAGGCGACGACGGGUAGCCGGCCUGAGAGGGUGACCGGCCACACUGGGACUGAGACACGGCCCAGACUCCUACGGGAGGCAGCAGUGGGGAAUAUUGCGCAAGGGGCGGAAGCCUGACGCAGCGACGCCGCGUGGGGGAUGACGGCCUUCGGGUUGUAAACCUCUUUCAGCAGGGACGAAGCGCAAGUGACGGUACCUGCAGAAGAAGCACCGGCCAACUACGU
rnacentral:rRNA from 1 species